CUUCCCGGUCCAUCACGGGAUCUGUCCCCAGAGCCACAUCCCGUGCCUUCGGGGUGGCACGCAGGCACCUACCGCCCUGCUGAUGUGCUUCCUGACCAAGAGGUCGAUCCAGCACCAGCCCACGGACACGUCAGAGGCAUCGUAGCCGAUCUUCUUCAGCGUCACAGCCGCCACGGUGAUGGCCAGCGGGACCCCCCAGCUGAAGAAUGAAAGGCAAGGAGGCACCGAGGCAACAAUAGAGCCAAUAUGAUGGCUUGGAGACUCAGCUGGCAAAUCCUCCACCGUCAAGUGCUGGCAUCCCAUAUGGGCAUCAGUUCAUGUCCUGGCUGCUCCACUUUCAAUCCAGCUCCCUGCUUAUAACCUGAGAAAGCAGUAGGGGAUGACCCAAAACUUUGGGACCCUGCACCCAUGUGGGAGACCUGGAAGAAGCUCCUGGCUCCUGGCUGUGGAUCAGC